AAGCAUGCUGCUCUUGAGGUUCAUGCUUUAGAAUUAUUUUCUAUUAUUGAGUUUUAUUUCUUUUUCAGAAUAAUCCUACGGUCUAUAGCUUCCCUCGUGGGAAGAAAAAUAGAUCCCAUUGAGCAAUUGUGUUUAGAGUGAUGCUAAUGUUGACAUAUCCACCAUGUCCUAAGCUUGCAUUGAGAGUACAUCUUACCAUGACUGAUAAAUUGUCCGUGACUUAAUAGUUGUUGAGGAUUAUAAUAAUUGAUUGCUCUUCUCUUUUGUUUGUACAUAAGGCUGCAGAAAGUAAUUAUAAACAGUCACUUUUGUUGUGGUUUCAUGAACCUUUUCCGUGUUUACUCAGUCUAAUAUCUAGUACUGGGUGAACUUUUCCAUGAUGGAUACACAUUUUAUGGAGCAUAGAUGCAUAAUAUGUAUCAACCAUUAAAUCUACAUCUUUAAAAUUCAUCAUCUUAUUUAACCCAAGCAUUUAUCAUAUUAACAUAACGUACUUUUUCUUGCUGUUCUAAAUUUAUUAGUUAUUUAAAUAUUUUGUUCUGCAUUUUGUCAAUCAUGGUGAUCUGAUAUGCUCUCACUGCAAUCAUGGUGAUCUGAUAUGCUCUCACUUUGUACAAAAGGCUGCAGAAAGCAAUUAUAAACAGUCACUGGUUUCAUGAACCUUUUCUGUGUUUACUCAGUCUAAUAUCUAGUAUCGGGUGAACUUUUCCAUGAUGGAUACACAUUUUAUGGAGCAUAAAUGCGUAAUAUGAAUCAACCAUUAUAUCUACAUCUUUAAAAUUCAUCAUCUUAUUUAACCCAAGCAUUUAUCAUAUUAACAUAACAUACUUUUUCUUGCUGUUCUAAAUUUAUUAGUUAUUUAAAUAUUUUGUUCUUUGUCAAUCAUGGUGAUAU
rnacentral:lncRNA from 1 species